UAUUUCACAGUCCCCUGGUCAAAACUGACGUGUAGCAAGAAGAGCUCCUGCAUUAUAAAAGAUGCCUACUUUCAUCUUCUGUCCAGCUUAACAGAAGAUUUACACCUGGAAAGAUCUGUCUGGUCAGAGUAGAAUGAAGCUGGCCAAUAAAUGGAAAAGGAAAUGGCAAAUCCCUCUAGCAUCUUUGCCAAGAAAAUCCCAAAUGGGAUUACAAAAGAGUCUUAAACACUGAAAAACAACUGAAUUAACAACUGGCCAAUAAAAGCAAAGAAAUCAGUGGAGCUCCUGAGCUGUGUGCUGAAGUGAAUUCAGACUCCUGAGUGGCUGAGAUCUGAGCUUGCAUUCCUAGAUACUUCAGAGACAAGACUUCCCAAGAGGUGAAACAGAGCCUUCUCUCCAAGUCUGAGCUGAGAUCCUAGCUCAUUCUCAGCUGAAGAACUCAUUCACUGUUGGAGAAAUUCUUUGGUACAUUUUAAUCUAUUUCAUUUCUGGAGUUUUGCUAUUUUGCUUGAAUAAAUGACU